rnacentral:sRNA from 1 species
UAAUUGUAAUCGCUGAAUUCAAAUUGAAACGGAGAAACCAAUAUUUUGUGGGCGAAAAACCACUUGGGGUGAAUCCUUUAAGUAAGGUAGGGUGACUCUUAACAUCCGAAUCCGACAGCUAACUCCGUAAGCGUUUAGAGAGAGAUCAU